GUGAGUCUUCUGGGUCUUCACCUGGCUUGUUGAGUGUCAGUUCUUGCUGUGGUUUUCGCAAUCUCCACACGUUAUGGCUACUGAAAUGCUAGGACACCAGCCGGGUGGCAGCUUGUGUCUUGCCAUUCCCAGGCAGUCCAGUGAAAUGAUAAACAAAAGUCUUUUGUGCCAUAUGAAUGAGCUUUAAGCACUCCUCAGUGGAGCCUCCUGUCAUCCAAUGCCGGCAGUCAUGAUACCGGAACCACAGGACUGAAUGAAGGGACCCCUUUCCAAGGAGGCGCCUUUGAAAACUCUUCUGUUGGGCCAUUUCAACUGUCAACUGAUCUUGAGUUCUGUUUACAUUAAGACAAUGAAUGUCUCCUUGGUAAAUCCCAAGAAAAUAUUUGACAUCUCUCCUUGCAUCAAUGACGCUCUGCCAAGCAAAUAUUUCCUAAGGUGAACAGAGGGUUUUUGUUUUGUUUUGUUUUGUUUUACCUCUUUCUUCCCAUGAUCUUGGCUUUUAAAGGGAAUAAAUAAAAA
rnacentral:lncRNA from 1 species